rnacentral:rRNA from 1 species
AGAGUUUGAUCCUGGCUCAGAUUGAACGCUGGCGGCAUGCCUUACACAUGCAAGUCGAACGGCAGCACGGGAGCAAUCCUGGUGGCGAGUGGCGAACGGGUGAGUAAUACAUCGGAACGUGCCCAAUCGUGGGGGGAUAACGCAGCGAAAGCUGUGCUAAUACCGCAUACGAUCUACGGAUGAAAGCAGGGGACCGCAAGGCCUUGCGCGAAUGGAGCGGCCGAUGGCAGAUUAGGUAGUUGGUGGGGUAAAGGCUCACCAAGCCUUCGAUCUGUAGCUGGUCUGAGAGGACGACCAGCCACACUGGGACUGAGACACGGCCCAGACUCCUACGGGAGGCAGCAGUGGGGAAUUUUGGACAAUGGGCGCAAGCCUGAUCCAGCCAUGCCGCGUGCAGGAUGAAGGCCUUCGGGUUGUAAACUGCUUUUGUACGGAACGAAAAGGUUCUUUCUAAUAAAGAGAGCUCAUGACGGUACCGUAAGAAUAAGCACCGGCUAACUACGUGCCAGCAGCCGCGGUAAUACGUAGGGUGCGAGCGUUAAUCGGAAUUACUGGGCGUAAAGCGUGCGCAGGCGGUGAUGUAAGACAGUUGUGAAAUCCCCGGGCUCAACCUGGGAACUGCAUCUGUGACUGCAUUGCUGGAGUGCGGCAGAGGGGGAUGGAAUUCCGCGUGUAGCAGUGAAAUGCGUAGAUAUGCGGAGGAACACCGAUGGCGAAGGCAAUCCCCUGGGCCUGCACUGACGCUCAUGCACGAAAGCGUGGGGAGCAAACAGGAUUAGAUACCCUAGUAGUCC